GCGGGUGUGGCGGAAUUGGCAGACGCGUAUGGUUCAGGUCCAUAUGGGGGUUACCCCGUGAAGGUUCAAGUCCUUUCACCCGCACCA
rnacentral:tRNA from 1 species